CAGCAGCCGCGGUAAUACGAGGGGGGCAAGCGUUGUUCGGAAUUAUUGGGCGUAAAGGGCGCGUAGGCGGUUUGGCAAGUUUGGUGUGAAAUCUUCGGGCUCAACUCGAAGUCUGCACCGAAAACUGCCGGGCUUGAGUAUGGGAGAGGUGAGUGGAAUUUCCGGUGUAGCGGUGAAAUGCGUAGAUAUCGGAAGGAACACCUGUGGCGAAAGCGGCUCACUGGACCAUUACUGACGCUGAGGCGCGAAAGCUAGGGGAGCAAACAGGAUUAGAUACCCCCGUAGUCCCUGUCUCUUAUAA
rnacentral:rRNA from 1 species